rnacentral:lncRNA from 1 species
UUUUUUUUUUUUUUUACUAAAAGAGAAAGGCAGGAUCUAAUAUUUAAAAUCAAACAUUGAUUCUCAAAAUGCUGACAGUUGACAUUUGGGGAACAAAUUAGAGCCCAGAAUCAAAGAAAAAUGGAAAGCACUUAUAAGCUAUACGAUCUGGAAAAUGGGAAGAGAGUCGAUUUUUAAAAAGAGGGGAAAAAACAACUGAUUGAAUAAUUAGAAAACAGAAAUGACAUGUUAAGAACAUACCACAGAGAAAAGGAACACUGCUAAGCUCAUUGGAGGGUUAUUUUUUUUCUUUUAGCAUAGUCUCAGUGGACUAUGAUGUAAAGGGAAAGGACAGCCUGUUAGGAAAGGCAGAAGAACCCUGAAUUAAAGAACAAAAACAAAUUUUGCAAAUUCAGAGUCAAACAUGAUUCCGGAUGCAGGAUCACACUGAUCGUUUGAUGGCAAAAUGGAUGUGGGAAGAAGGAAGACAACUGUUUCACUCAUAAAUGACAAGUUAAAUCCAACAGAGAAUCUGGCAGGCCCUUCUCUUUGGGCAUGUUGCAGAUCUCAGUUUCUGCUCAAAUUCCAUCAUGGCUUCCUCUGUGGCUGUUUGUCCUGAGUUUCCUUUUCUGGUUCAGCUAGCCUUUUACCUGGAGACAUGGAUCUUAAUCCCUACUCCACAUCUAGAUCUAUGUAACCCUGGGCAAAUCAUAUAGUACCCUGAAAAUUUGUGCUCAUCUGUAAAGUGGUGAAUCUCACACUUUCCUACUGAUCUCUCAAUACUGUUUUGAGAGUCAGGAGGGAAGCAAUAGGUAUAAUGGUUAAAAGGAUAGAAUCUAUAGCAAGUUUGUCUGGGUUUGAAUCUCAGCUUCAUCAACUGAGUAGCCUUGAUCAAGUCACAAAAAUUCUCUGGCCUCGGUGUCUUCAUCUGUAAAUUAGGGAUAUAUAAUUCUAGCACCUAUACCAUUGAGUUGUUACAGAGACUGACUGAAUUAAUGAAAUUAUUGCUUAGAACAGUGCCUGAUACUUAUUCAACAUAAGUAUUUUAAGUAUUCUUAUCUACAGGUGUAGGAAAUAUAAACCUACUAAAAGCUCUGUUAAAUACGAGACAGUGAGGAGGAAAGAAAUACUCUUCAGAUCAUGGAUCUUUGAUAUAAUGCCAGCAUCACUGAUGAAGCCAUACUGAGGUUCUGGGUACCACCAGUUGAACAAGGAAUGAUUUCCAGAGACAGAAAGAAUAGAGAAAAACAGAAGGGUAGAGAAUAUGAGAGGGAAAAAAAUUUAAAAAAAAAGGUACUUGGAAGAUGGUAAAUCAGAAUUAGCACCUACCAGACUCUUAUUUUCUCCUAAAACUCAGCUCAGGCAUCACUUUCUGAAGGGAGCAUUAUAAAGGGGAAAAGACGAAAGAAAGAAAGAAAGAAAGAAAGAAAGAAAGAAAGAAAGAAAGAAAGAAAGAAAGAGAGAGAAAGGAAGGAAAAAAGGAAGGGAGAGAGGGAGGGAGGGAUGAAGAGAGGGAGGGAUUAGGCUAUGUCAUCACCCCAUCUGGGUUUAGUAUACUUAGGCAACUGAAUUAACCUAACUCUGAGAGUAUUUAUGCUUCCAUAAAAUGGGGAUGAUAACAAAUAAUAAGUUCAGAGGAUUUCACAAGGAGUUAAUUAAAUAACUGCUCAAGGCAUUUAGAGCACUAUCCAGCACUUAUCACACAGCAACUGGUACAGAUAUUAUUCCUGACCCCUGAAAUAUGCCAAAGUUGUGUUCAUAGUAUUAUUCAAGUAAACUAUUAAGAGUCUCAAUGCAGCCAACUGAAAAGAGUAGAGCUCAAGGGUAUUAAGUGAUUUGCUUGGAACCUGCCAGCUAAUGAGAAACAGAGCUAGGAUUCUAAUCCAGCCCCUUCUGGUUCCCAAGGCCCAUGCUCCACUGCCUCCCAAAUGAACUGCCAAGUGCAAAUCACAUUCAUUCCACUGCAUAGCACAUCACUUAACACCCCCAAAUGGAACUUUUGCAUAUAUUAAAGAAAUGCAGCAUUUUGCAGAAGCCCAUGAUUAUUAUUUUAAAUUUGAAAAAACUAAUAAAAAUUAUACUAUGGUAUAUUAAGUGCUGGUACUUUAUGUACAUUACAUCAUUGUCAUCAUCAUUGUCAUUAUUAUAUCAUUGAUUACAUGUUUUGCAUCUGAUGUUGUAUUUAAUGUUUUCUAUUAAGUGGCUCUCAAACUUUACACUGGAUAAGAAUCACCUGGAGGAGAUCUUGUUAAAAUGCACAUUCUAGUUCAAUAGGUAGUUUAAGAGUCUACAUUUAUAAUCAGCAACCAGUUGAUAGUAAUGUUGCUAUUUUGCCAGCCUCAUGGAGAGUAGCAAAUUUUAUGUAAUUUUUAAAUUCAAUCCUUACAUAAAUGCUGUUACAAGAAUUUUAGAGAGAUUAUUGUGCUCAUUUUGCUGAAGAAGAGACUGAAGUUCCAAGAGUUUGUGUGCCCUGCCUCAGGUACAGUGAUAGGACACAGAACUAGAAUUACAUCUGCCAUUUCUGUGGGUCCAAUGUCCCUAAUCCUUCUGUCACGUACAUUGUAGAGUAUAUAGAAUCACUUCACAAUUUAGCACUUUAAAAUGUUCACAUUUAUUUUAGAAAUAGAAUGCCUUCCAUUAGCCAC